GUACGGGAGGCAGCAGUAAGGAAUAUUGGACAAUGGGCGCAAGCCUGAUCCAGCCAUGCCGCGUGAAGGAUGAAGGCCCUAUGGGUUGUAAACUUCUUUUAGCAGGGAAAAAACCCCCCGAUGCGUUGGGGGCUGAUGGUACCUGCAGAAUAAGCAUCGGCUAACUCCGUGCCAGCAGCCGCGGUAAUACGGAGGAUGCAAGCGUUAUCCGGAUUUAUUGGGUUUAAAGGGUGCGUAGGCGGAUAAAUAAGUCAGUGGUGAAAGCCUGCAGCUUAACUGUAGAAUUGCCAUUGAUACUGUUUAUCUUGAGUACAGCUGAGGUGGGCGGAAUAUGACAUGUAGCGGUGAAAUGCUUAGAUAUGUCAUAGAACACCGAUUGCGAAGGCAGCUCACUAAACUGUCACUGACGCUGAGGCACGAAAGCGUGGGGAGCAAACAGGAUUAGAUACCCUGGUAGUCC
rnacentral:rRNA from 1 species